rnacentral:rRNA from 1 species
UACAGAGGGGGCAAGCGUUAUUCGGAAUUAUUGGGCGUAAAGGGCGCGUAGGCGGCUUUGCAAGUGACGGGUGAAAGCCUCGGCUUAAACCGAGGAACUGCCUGUCAGACUGUGAGGCUUGAGACCGGGAGAGGUGAGUGGAAUUCCCAGUGUAGCGGUGAAAGUGCGUAGAUAUUGGGAGGAACACCAGUGGCGAAGGCGGUUAGCUGGGCGAGUUGCUGACACUGAGGCGCGACAGCGUGGGGAGCAAACAGG